rnacentral:rRNA from 1 species
AGUGAACGCUGGCGGUAGGCCUAACACAUGCAAGUCGAACGGCAGCACAGGAGAGCUUGCUCUCUGGGUGGCGAGUGGCGGACGGGUGAGGAAUACAUCGGAAUCUACUUUUUCGUGGGGGAUAACGUAGGGAAACUUACGCUAAUACCGCAUACGACCUACGGGUGAAAGCAGGGGAUCUUCGGACCUUGCGCGAUUGAAUGAGCCGAUGUCGGAUUAGCUAGUUGGCGGGGUAAAGGCCCACCAAGGCGACGAUCCGUAGCUGGUCUGAGAGGAGUAUCAGCCACACUGGAAAUGAGACACGGUCCAGACUCCUACGGGAGGCAGCAGUGGAGAAUAUUGGACAAUGGGCGCAAGCCUGAUCCAGCCAUACCGCGUGGGUGAAGAGGGCCUUCGGGUUGUAAAGCCCUUUUGUUGGGAAAGAAAUCCAGCUGGUUAAUACCCGGUUGGGAUGACGGUACCCAAAGAAUAAGCACCGGCUAACUUCGUGCCAGCCGCCGCGGUAA